rnacentral:rRNA from 1 species
UACAGAGGAGCCAAGCGUUGUCCGGAUUGACUGGGCGUAAAGCGCACGCAGGCGGAUGCGCGCGUGGGGUGUGAAAUCUGGCCGCUUAACGGCCAGGCGCCAUCCCAUACGGCGCGUCUGGAGCUAUGCAGAGGUCGGUGGAAUUGCCGGUGUAGUGGUGAAAUGCGUAGAGAUCAUGAGGAAGACCAGUGGCGAAGGCGGGUCUCUGGGACAGUUCCUGACAC